AGCUAGUGAUAGCUAGCACCUCUAGUUGGUGCUAGCUAGCUGAUGAUAGCUAACAUACAGAGCUGUGCUUCAGCUAACUGUAUUCGCAUUAGUGGGCAUGCUACUGAGGAAUGAAAAUAGAUACG